rnacentral:SRP_RNA from 1 species
GCCGAGCUUUGUAACGCAAGCUUGUAACCCGAGUGGGGGCUUUGAGGUGCUGGAACAUUGGCUCAGUAUUAGCUGGUCGGGUUCGGGUUGGCUAUUUACUGGCCCGCCCAUUCCAAGCCAGGAGUUGAACCCUGUGGCUCGAGCGAAGGCUCUGGGUUACUUGGUUUCUAGAGCGGAGGGAACCGCGUAAGGCUGGCUUCACAGAGCAACGACUACCUCCCGCUCUUGGCAGUGGAAGGAUAACGGGUCGGUGGUCACUUGGAUCCCAUCAUGGCUCGCUAGACUGUCCCAAUUGAACCAAAACCUUU